rnacentral:rRNA from 1 species
GACGAACGCUGGCGGCGUGCUUAACACAUGCAAGUUGAACGGGGCAUAUAUUUGACAGACUUUUCGGAGUUUAGAAGAUAUAUGUUUAGUAGCGGACGGGUGAGUAAUGCAUGAGAACCUGCCCUUCAGAGGGGGACAACAGCUGGAAACGGUUGCUAAUACCCCAUAAGCCGAGAGGUAAAAGGAGUAAUCCGCUGAGGGAGGGGCUCAUGUCCUAUCAGCUAGUUGGUAAGGUAACGGCUUACCAAGGCGAAGACGGGUAGCCGGCCUGAGAGGGCGAUCGGCCACACUGGAACUGAGAUACGGUCCAGACUCCUACGGGAGGCAGCAGUGGGGAAUAUUGGGCAAUGGGCGCAAGCCUGACCCAGCGACGCCGCGUGAGGGAAGAAGGCCCUUGGGUCGUAAACCUCUGUUGUAUGGGAAGAAGGACGUGACGGUACCAUACGAGGAAGUCCCGGCUAACUACGUG